rnacentral:misc_RNA from 1 species
CCGAGUUUACAACUCCCAAGCCCAUGUGAACAUACCUACUGUUGCUUCGGCGGGAUUGCCCCGGGCGCCUCGUGUGCCCCGGAUCAGGCGCCCGCCUAGGAAACUUAACUCUUGUUUUAUUUUGGAAUCUUCUGAGUAGUUUUUACAAAUAAAUAA